AGCACUGUGGUACAGUACUGUGGUACAGUACUGGUUUGAGUCACCAGUCUCGAAAGAGGCGUGGGUUCGAAUCCCACCGCUGCCA
rnacentral:tRNA from 1 species